UCAAGUAAUUAAGUGCAUGUGGUGGAUGCCUUGGCAGUCAGAGGCGAUGAAAGACGUGAUAGCCUGCGAAAAGCUCCGGGGAGGCGGCAAAUAUCCUUUGAUCCGGAGAUGUCUGAAUGGGGGAACCCACCUACUUUAAGGUAGGUAUUGCAACAUGAAUACAUAGUGUUGCAAGGCGAACGAGGGGAAGUGAAACAUCUCAGUACCCUUAGGAAAAGAAAUCAAUUGAGAUUCCCUCAGUAGCGGCGAGCGAACGGGGAUCAGCCCAUUAAGUUAUGUGUGUUUUAGUGGAACGCUCUGGGAAGUGCGAACGUAGAGGGUGAUAUUCCCGUACACGAAAGGGCACACAUAAUGAUGACGAGUAGGGCGAGGCACGUGAAACCUUGUCUGAAUAUGGGGGGACCAUCCUCCAAGGCUAAAUACUCCUGACUGACCGAUAGUGAACCAGUACCGUGAGGGAAAGGCGAAAAGAACCCCUGUGAGGGGAGUGAAAUAGAUCCUGAAACCGCAUGCAUACAAGCAGUGGGAGCACCUUCGUGGUGUGACUGCGUACCUUUUGUAUAAUGGGUCAGCGACUUAUAUUCAGUAGCGAGGUUAACCGUAUAGGGGAGCCGUAGAGAAAUCGAGUCUUAAUAGGGCGUUUAGUUGCUGGGUAUAGACCCGAAACCAGGCGAUCUAUCCAUGAGCAGGUUGAAGGUUGGGUAACACUAACUGGAGGACCGAACCCACUGUCGUUGAAAAGCCAGGGGAUGACUUGUGGAUAGGGGUGAAAGGCUAAUCAAGCCUGGUGAUAGCUGGUUCUCCCCGAAAGCUAUUUAGGUAGCGCCUCGGACGAAUACCAUAGGGGGUAGAGCACUGUUUCGGCUAGGGGGUCAUCCCGACUUACCAAACCGAUGCAAACUCCGAAUACCUAUGAGUACUAUCCGGGAGACAGACUGCGGGUGCUAACGUCCGUAGUCAAGAGGAAAACAAUCCAGACCGCCAGCUAAGGCCCCAAAAUCAUAGUUAAGUGGGAAACGAUGUGGGAAGGCAUAGACAGCUAGGAGGUUGGCUUAGAAGCAGCCACCCUUUAAAGAAAGCGUAAUAGCUCACUAGUCGAGUCGGCCUGCGCGGAAGAUGUAACGGGGCUAAAACUAUGUGCCGAAGCUGCGGAUGUAUACUUUGUAUACGUGGUAGGGGAGCGUUCUGUAAGCCGAUGAAGGUGUGUUGAGAAGCAUGCUGGAGGUAUCAGAAGUGCGAAUGCUGACGUGAGUAACGACAAAACGGGUGAAAAACCCGUUCGCCGAAAGACCAAGGGUUCCAGUCCAACGUUAAUCGGGGCUGGGUGAGUCGACCCCUAAGGCGAGGCCGAAAGGCGUAGUCGAUGGGAAAAUGGUUAAUAUUCCAUUACUUCUGUGUAAUGCGAUGAGAGGACGGAGAAGGCUAAAUCAGCCUGGCGUUGGUUGUCCAGGUGAAAGGAUGUAGGCAUGUAUCUUAGGCAAAUCCGGGGUACUCUAUGCUGAGAUCUGAUAGCAAGCUGUACUUGUACAGCGAAGUGGUUGAUGCCAUGCUUCCAGGAAAAGUCUCUAAGCUUCAGUUACACAGGAAUCGUACCCGAAACCGACACAGGUGGUCAGGUCGAGUAGACCAAGGCGCUUGAGAGAACUCUGCUGAAGGAACUAGGCAAAAUGGUACCGUAACUUCGGGAGAAGGUACGCUGUUGUUGGUGAUGGAACUCGCUUCCUGAGCUGACGACAGCCGCAGAAACCAGGCCGCUGCAACUGUUUAUUAAAAACAUAGCACUCUGCAAACACGAAAGUGGACGUAUAGGGUGUGAUGCCUGCCCGGUGCUGGAAGGUUAAUUGAUGGGGUUAGCGUAAGCGAAGCUCUUGAUCGAAGCCCCAGUAAACGGCGGCCGUAACUAUAACGGUCCUAAGGUAGCGAAAUUCCUUGUCGGGUAAGUUCCGACCUGCACGAAUGGCAUAAUGAUGGCGGCGCUGUCUCCAGCAGAGGCUCAGUGAAAUCGAAAUCGCUGUGAAGAUGCAGUGUACCCGCGGCUAGACGGAAAGACCCCGUGAACCUUUACUGCAGCUUGACACUGAACUUUGACCUUACUUGUGUAGGAUAGGUGGGAGGCUUUGAAGCUGGAACGCUAGUUCCAGUGGAGCCGUCCUUGAAAUACCACCCUGGUAAUGUUGAGGUUCUAACUCUGUCC
rnacentral:rRNA from 1 species